GACCAUGAGAGGGAUGCUUCCGUGGCCUCCUCUGUCCUCCAUUCUCCUCCAGGGUGGAGUCUGCUGGGUGAGCAGAAGCUCUUCCUCUCUCUCACGGUUCUUUGCAUCCUCCAGGAGCUGUGCACUCAGUCAAAGAGGGCGACCUUCCCCGUAGAUGAGGACUGUUCUUUGGCCAAGGACACAGGAAUUGCUGUGCCUUCCUGCUGGAACUGCCCAACAAGCUCAGAAGGGCUGGUUCCACUCAAAGUCAACUGUCCGCUGCUCUUGUCCUUUGAUUGUGGAUGCCAUUGUUU
rfam:Cricetulus griseus cell line CHO-K1, whole genome shotgun sequence.